GUCCACGCCGUAAACUAUGGAUACUAGGUGUCCGGGAUGUAAACCUCCUGGGUACCGAAGCUCACGCAUUAAGUAUCCCGCCUGGGGAGUACGGUCGCAAGACUAAAACUCAAAGGAAUUGACGGGGGCCCGCACAAGCGGUGGAGUAUGUGGUUUAAUUCGAAGCAACGCGCAGAACCUUACCUGGGCUUAACAUCCCCUGACAUCCGCAGAGAUGCGGCUUCCACUUCGGUGGCAGGGAGAUAGGUGCUGCAUGGCUGUCGU
rnacentral:rRNA from 1 species